GGAGGCUUGGAGGUGAAGAGAUAUGCAGCCGUGUCACAUGGUGUCAUAAGUGGUGGAAUGAGAUGACCCCAAAGCCCUGCUCUGAUUACCAGAUUCCCUUUGCCCCAGCACCAAAGCAGAGGAGACCCAGAAGGAUAAGCCAGAGCAUUGGAGAGCUGGGUUCCCACCCCAACAGUAAGGCAUGGCCUUUGUUGUUAUAACUGAACAGAGUCCAAAGAAGGAAAAAAGGCAGGCCCUGAUCACAAGGAGUUCAAAGCUUAGGGUCACCACUGGGCCCCCAGGGGGCUCUCUGGGGCAGACCUCCGCUCCAGGCCACUCGGACACCUUGUCGCCCAAGCCUGCAGGGCUCGCUGCAGCUCCCGGCCUUUGUCCAGCUGGGUUCCCUGGGUCGCAAGGGCCUGCACAGAGACCCGGCCGCACUCUUCCCACGGGAGGCCUUUCCAUCCUCACUGUCUCCGCCAGGCCCCCAGCCCUGCGUGUGUUUUCUCUCUGUAAUGCUCCCUGGUGCUCUAUGGUGGAAACCCAAGUCGGAGCCUGCAGGUUCCUGACCACCCAGCAGUGGGGGCUGGGCUCACCUUCGAUCCUGACUCUUGCCCCAGCACUUUCUGCUCAGGGCUGCCCACUUGGGCCUUCUGAUAAAGGUAUGUUUCCCAGUUGGUUAUUUUCAAGGGAAAAGUCUCAUGUUUGGGGCAGGGAGGGAUUGACAGGGGAGAGGGGUGAUGGACUUUUUUUCUUCCCAGGAAGAGAAUGA
rnacentral:lncRNA from 1 species